rnacentral:rRNA from 1 species
AUUGAACGCUGGCGGCAUGCCUUACACAUGCAAGUCGAACGGCAGCACGGGUGCUUGCACCUGGUGGCGAGUGGCGAACGGGUGAGUAAUACAUCGGAACGUACCUUAUCGUGGGGGAUAACGCAGCGAAAGCUGUGCUAAUACCGCAUACGCCCUGAGGGGGAAAGCGGGGGAUCGCAAGACCUCGCGCGAUUAGAGCGGCCGAUGCCUGAUUAGCUAGUUGGUGGGGUAAAAGCCCACCAAGGCGACGAUCAGUAGCUGGUCUGAGAGGACGAUCAGCCACACUGGGACUGAGAACCGGCCCAGACUCCUACGGGAGGCAGCAGUGGGGAAUUUUGGACAAUGGGGGCAACCCUGAUCCAGCAAUGCCGCGUGAGUGAAGAAGGCCUUCGGGUUGUAAAGCUCUUUUGUCAGGGAAGAAACACCGGCUCUAACACAGUCCGGGAAUGACGGUACCUGAAGAAUAAGCACCGGCUAACUACGUGCCAGCAGCCGCGGUAA